rnacentral:rRNA from 1 species
AGAGCGAACGCUGGCGGCAUGCUUAACACAUGCAAGUCGAACGAGGGGGGCAACCCCCGAGUGGCAGACGGGUGAGUAACGCGUGGUCAACCUACCCUAGAGUGGGGAAUAACUAGCCGAAAGGUUAGCUAAUACCGCAUGAUACGUUUUGGGACAUCCCAGGACGUUGAAAGGAGCAAUCCGCUCGAGGACGGGACCGCGUCCGAUUAGCUAGUUGGUGAGGUAACGGCCCACCAAGGCUCCGAUCGGUAGCUGGUUUGAGAGAGCGACCAGCCACACUGGGACUGAGAAACGGCCCAGACUCCUACGGGAGGCAGCAGUGAGGAAUUUUCCGCAAUGGGCGAAAGCCUGACGGAGCGACGCCGCGUGUGGGAAGAAGGCCUUCGGGUCGUAAACCGACUGUCGAAGGGGACUAUACUGAAGGUACCCUUGGAGGAAGCCCCGGCUAACGUACGCGCCAGCAGCCGC